AGAUAAAUAAAUCCAGAUUAAGACACAGUAUAUUUCAUGUUAUAUACUAAGAAUAUCAUGUGACUUUGCUUAAACAAGUGUAAAAUUAAAUAAACUAAAAUAAGUCAACUAAUAAUUAAAAAAUUGGAUUUAAAUAAGUGAUACGGUCACAUUUUGUGCACAAAUCUUGGUUCAGUUAAUAACAUUUAACAGCUUGGUCAGCAUUCAUGCUUAUUACAGAUAGAUAUACAGGGACCCGCUGACAAUUUUACACAUUCUUACAGAAAACUGUAUGUGAAAAUGUAGUGCAACAAGCAGUUGAGACCUACCAUAUGAAUGUUUAACAUCUAAUUAAUAUUAUUUGAACUUAUUAUUAUU